rnacentral:lncRNA from 1 species
AGCCAUGGGGUGUGGAGCUGAGUUGUCUGAGACCAGGAGCGCGCCAGUUGGAUCAGCUCCUCUCUGCAUCGGUCACCCAGAAGUGCUACUGAUAGCUCCACAACUCGAGAGACCAGUACAGUAAGAACCCAAGUUAUAAGUGAGUUCCGUUCAAGGAGAACGUUCACAAGUUGGAUUGGUUGGUAAGUCUGAUAAAGGGUGUUCAUAAACCUUUGACACAAAUAUGCA